UGCGUAGGCGGUUCCGCAAGUCCGCUGUGAAAGCCCCGGGCUUAACCUGGGGAUGGCAGUGGAAACUAUGGGACUUGAAUCUGGCAGAGGGGGGUGGAAUGCCACGUGUAGCAGUGAAAUGCGUAGAUAUGUGGCGGAACACCGAUGGCGAAGGCAGCCCCCCUGGGCUGAGAUUGACGCUCAGGCACGAAAGCGUGGGGAGCAAACAGGAUUAGAUACCCUGGUAGUCCACGCCCUAAACGAUGAUCACUAGGUGUUGGGGAAGCGAUUUCUCAGUACCGCAGCUAACGCGUGAAGUGAUCCGCCUGGGAGUACGGUCGCAAGAUUAAA
rnacentral:rRNA from 1 species